rnacentral:lncRNA from 1 species
AUUUUGAGGAGAAAAAUAUCCUAGAGCUUUCCCAAAUAAUACAAGGUGAGUUCCUGCUCAAUUCCAUUGAUUAUUACAUCAAACUAACAAUGAUUGACACCAAAUUAUCUUCCAAAUUCCUAAAUUGUAAACAAUUCCAACAAAAUGCAAUUCAGGUGGAAUUUUUGUAUUUUCUUCAAAGGUAAGAACUUUAACCUUUCUUAGCAAUUAUAAUUGAUUGGGAAGGGUAAAGGGGAGAUUCUCAUCAUUAAUUGUUUUUGGGUAUUGAUCUAAAUCAUGAUGAACGUAGUUCUAGGUAUGAAACCCUAGUUUUUGGAAAAAGAGAUAGAAACCUAGAAUUUUGAUAAAGCUUUGAUCUUUAUCACUCCCCUUGUAAGUAGAGUAAUUGCUCGAGCAUUGGAGAUUUUUUUGAAUUAAUUUGGAAGAAUUUACGGUAUGUCUCCUUGAACAUACAUUUUCACUACAAAGGUGUAUGCAUAUAUGAUACAUCCUAUUCAUGGGUUAUUGAACUUGAAUUAGCAUAACGCUUAUGAACGUGAUUUGGUUAAAUCGAAGCAUGUCUUUGAACUAUUGGUUUUUGUAUGAUUUCCUGAACUAAAACACGAAUUUUCGAGAUUUACUUGAUAAAGGAAUAACGAACAUGAAUGAAUUGGCUACUAUGCCAUGAUUUAUAAAAAGACACACAUGAUAAAAACAAAACAUGUUUGGGCUUGUAUGAGAAAUCUAUUUGGGCCUGUAUGGGCGGUUUACUUGGGCAUGUAUGGGUAAUGGAAUUGAGCCUUGGUUGGCAAUGGUACCAGGUCUGUAUCGGCAAAACACGAGCCUUGAUUGGCGGCGAUUUAUUCAGGCAUGUAUGGGCAAAACAUGAGCCUUGAUUGGCGGCGAUUUAUUUGGGCAUGUAUGGGCAUGAUAUGAUAUCUGAACACGAUGAAUUGGAACCCUAGUAUCUCAUUAUUGUUGAUUCUUGCUGAGCACAUGAUUUACUGCACUUAUUUGAUUUGAACUGUUUCAUUCUACACUCUGUACUUACUUUAUUGAUAUGAGCACUUACUCCUAGACAUUCACUGAGUACCAGUACUCAGACAUACUAUUAUUGUUUUUGAUGGUAUGUUAGGCAACAAAGUAGAGCAGGUACAUGCAGAUCGAGUGAGGUAGGAGUACUUGUUGCUUUCAAGUUGUUGGUGAGCCCACAUCCUUAUUCGUGGGGCUCCAUUGAGUCGUUUAUUAAUUCUUAAUAGUUUCGCAUUGUGUCCUGAUUAAUAUUAUUUCUCUUAGAAUCUCCAUUAAUAAUGGUCAAACUGUGAGAAGUAUUGUGCAAGUCAUUGCUUUGUUUGUUUUCAAGAUUUUUGAAUUAUUAAAUUUAACUAAGAUUAAUUUACUUAGACGUAAUUUUAUCAUGCUUAAUGUUUAGUGAUUUAUCAACUGAACAAGGGGCAAGUGUCGUAACAUCUAUCUUAUAAAGUGCUUUCGGUGUGGUUCCUUAGCAUCAGAUGCAUGUUGCGCUUUGGGGGUAACAAGCUUGGUAACGGAGCUCUAGGAUUAGAAGUGCCCUUGGAUUGUCUGUGGAGCUGUGUCUACCAAGGUACUCUUGAUGCAGACUGGCCAACUAUAUGGAUGAAUGACUACCAGGACAUUAUAGGUGUUUCUUACUCUUCUUGAUUCUAUAUUGUACUGUAGAGAUUGAACUUCUCUUUAAGAUCAUUUUGACAUAUGCAAAAAUAUUAUAGACUUGUGAUGCAGCUGCUAAACAAGUGAGCAUUGGUACUAUGAAGUGCAUAUUGGUUGUAAUGCAUGUAUAGUGUGAUGGAUGAUGCAAAGUCGCUUGGAAUUCAAUAGUAGGUGUUUGGUGUAUAUAUGAUGAUUGUAGGGUGUGGU